rnacentral:misc_RNA from 1 species
CAGAGUUUACACCUCCCGGUAGAUCUCCCACCCUUGCGUAAUCAUACCUUUUACGUUGCCUCGGCCUGGCUCAUGCCCGGCCACCGCUCUAAAGGGCUGGGCCCUGCCAGAGGAUCUCCUAAACUCAGUUUAUCAGUGGAACUUUCUGAGUCUUAAAACAAUCGUUA